UAUAUAUAUAUAUAUAUAUAUAUAUAUAUAUAUAUAUAUAUAUAUAGUAUUUUUUUAAGUUCAUUUAGAAUCAAUAGGCAGCAGUUUAGAAGUGCACCAGAAACCCAUAUUGAUUUAGAAAAUGAAACACCAUUUACGGUGUUUACAGUAAAUACAGCACUCAUGACCAGUUCUUUGCCAUCAAAGGAAAAAUAAAUAAAAUGUUCCAUUUGCUAAAUAGCACAUCACAUUUCUAUUUUAGGUAGCUGUCAGACCAUGAGACACUGAGGGAAAAAGAAUAUUACCAAAACGAACGAACUAAGGAACAGUUGUCCCACAUCAAUUUGGGAAAUGCAUGCAUCAUAAAAACUUUCUAGCACUCCCAGAGCCCUAUCAGUCCUGGUCUGAUUCCGUGCGGUGUCUCUGAGAAAUGUUAUCCACCACCAACUGAUCAUCAAUAUUAGCUUUGCCACUAGCAGACACCGACAACAGAGGUUUGGAAAAGAGAAGAAAUCAUGGAUGAGUUGCCGAAUCAAACUAAUGAAACAUUCAUCAGACUGAGGAGAGGAAGAAUCCAAUGUGUUGAUAUAGUAGCUAUGAUUUGUGCUUUUUUCGGCUUUCUCUGUGUAGCUGUGAUCACAGGGUUACCGAGGUGGAAACUCACUGUACGCUCUGAAUCAGGGACAGAAUACGAAGGACUUUGGACUAAAUGUUCUGUUAUCCACGAUGCCAGUUCAUUAACAUGCAAAGCCCAUUUAGAUCCAGCCCCAUGGUCAGUCCGUUACUUUGUAACUCUCUCUUUGGUUCUGGCCGCGGUUGCAUGGAUGGGUUCACUCAUGAGCAUUCAGUGCACCCGUCCCAGCACUGCCAGGCGCUGCCUGAUUGGAGCAGGCUGUUUGCACCUGCUCGCUUCACUCACUACUCUCAUCUCUGUGUCCUGGACGGCGCUCGGCAUCUUCCAUGCUGAUCGUGGUCUGAGCUCCGGUCGGUUCCACAUGGGGGAGGCUCUGUUUGUAGGCUGGCUGGCCUCGUGUUUGCUAUGCACAGCUGGGUUGUUGCAGUGCUGUUCCGGGCCCCUCGUCAGGGCAGGAGAAGAAACGAGCAUCGCAGAGUCCUCCAGUCAUAGUGACAUCAGUUUGGACACACUUUUCAGCUCAGCCAGCCUACACUCUCACGGAUAUAUUAGAGAAUUGUAAAAAUGGAUAUGUUGGUAACAAAUUGUCUUUUUAAAUCACAUCAAAAUAAAAACUGAAGGGAUAUUUUGUGCUACAACUGAUGAUGUGGCAUCACGUUAAGGUGUUUAAUUUAGUCAAAUAAAUACCACUUUAGUUUUUUG